AGUGAACGCUGGCGGUAGGCCUAACACAUGCAAGUCGAACGGCAGCACAGGAAAGCUUGCUCUCUGGGUGGCGAGUGGCGGACGGGUGAGGAAUACAUCGGAAUCUACUCUGUCGUGGGGGAUAACGUAGGGAAACUUACGCUAAUACCGCAUACGACCUACGGGUGAAAGCAGGGGACCUUCGGGCCUUGCGCGAUUGAAUGAGCCGAUGUCGGAUUAGCUAGUUGGCGGGGUAAAGGCCCACCAAGGCGACGAUCCGUCGCUGGUCUGAGAGGAUGAUCAGCCUCACUGGAACUGAGACACGGUCCGGGCUCCUACGGGAGGAAGCAGUGGGGAAUAUUGGACAAUGGGCGCAAGCCUGAUCCAGCCAUACCGCGUGGGUGAAGAAGGCCUUCGGGUUGUAAAGCCCUUUUGUUGGGAAAGAAAUCCAGCUGGCUAAUACCCGGUUGGGAUGACGGUACCCAAAGAAUAAGCACCGGCUAACUUCGUGCCAGCCGCCGCCGUAA
rnacentral:rRNA from 1 species